CCCGACGUGCAUCACGUGUAGCGCGAUGACGUCACCAGACUGCGCCACAGCUGACGGGAGAUUGCCGCCCGACGGACUCCGGCGGUAGGCGGUCCCCGCUCCGGCCCGCGCAACACACACCAGUGGUGAGGGGUUAUAAGUUUUCAGACAAGUUACCAGACAUCAGCAUGCUGGUUGGAGGAGCUAGUUUAUCCAUGGUUACUCACUGUUUGAAGAUAGAAGCACACGGCAGGCUUUGCAGACACCAAGUAUCACAGCCACAGACUUCUGCAAGAUUCUUUCACACUCUGAGAGCACUAGCAGUCCAAGUUAAACUUCUUCUGACACCAUGUUUUGUUCAUACGUUUGUAAAUCCAGUCAUCAGGACACAGAGACAUCUGCUCUCUGGUCCAGUGCGCUGAAUGAAGACUCAGAACCACACACAGCAAAGUUUGUAGAAGAAGCUGUUACCACUGGGCAUGUGCAGCCGCUCUGUUCUGUCCCCUAAACUGCAUAAUGUGUCGGGAGUUCUUAAACCGUAUCACCUUAUACACGGAGAAAUGCGUUAAGGAAGCUACCUACUGCUUGUAUCCAUUAUAAACCACCUGGAUUCCUUACUUACUGGAGACCGCCUUCACAUCUUCUUACAGUGACCCGGAGCAGCGCCUGGUUUCUCCCUCCCCGAGGACAUCGAGAUACCGCCGCGCUACAUAUGCGCACCACCGGAUAAACAUUACAUCAGCCGGCCUCGCAGCAGCGGCAACGGUGAGAGAUCAGCUGGCGGUGGGGAGGGACACCUGUAGAGCGCUGGGUCCUCGGAUUCAUUAACAUUACCUGAGGCAGUUGGCGGCUUCUUCAUUGGAUGCACGGUUGUACGCCAGAGAAGCACCACAGCCAGGCCCCAGCCAACACUGCCAAGUGAUGCAGAUGCUGGCGAAGCAGGUUCUUCUUCUGCAAGCCGCCCUCCACUAAGGCGACCAUCACAGGGCUCGGUGAGUGUGCCUAGGAGGCCAAGCAAGACACGUCGCGUUGAGCCUGAGUCUGCGGCUCCAUCAUCACCACCCCGGCGGCGCAUCUCCGCAGUGUUGCCCCAGCCACCACAGGCAAUUUUGGCAAGUCCACAAAGUGAUGAGCCACAAUCACCUCAGCUGUCUGAACCACCCAUCAUGGUCGAGGACGCCCAGCAGGAACCUGACCAACAGCCUACCUUCAGACUACACCUGCAGCCCAUUGAUCCUACCCAGCCAACCCCGCAGCAGGAUAUACCACAAGCAUCCGUUAGCCCCCAAUUAAUUCCAACUCCACCCCAGCAACAAAUGUCCCCUGACUUUUGGAACAGUUGGGCCACACAACAGGUCCAAAACUCUGCCUACCUGAACACACACACACAACACCUUGCCAGUCUGCCCCAUCAUCUUCCUCGCAUUAGUCGGAACUCGGGCAGACUGAUUGUUCAGGUUGGCAGAAUAGCAACUUCAAUGGAGCAGAUCAGGGUGGACAACACUCAAAUGCUUGCAAAUUUGACAAGAAUAAUCGAUGAGCAACAGCGGCAGCAACAAACCCUAAUACAAGUAAUACAGCAUAACCAAGUGGUGAACGAAAGUUUGUCGCGAAUUAUUGCCAGCCACACUGCCACAAAUAUCCAACUUAAUGCGAGUAUACACAACCUCAGCCAAAGUAUUACUGUGAUGGCAGCCCAACAAGUCACCUCAAGCUCCGGAACGACUACCCCAAGCGAGACCCCAGUUACCUCCCCUGUUCGACGCUCAAGCAGAACACGGGCCAACGACCCUGGUCAAACCUCUGCACCCAGCACACACAAAAAAAAAUGAAGGCUGCAUGAAAUGUUUGGAACACAAUAAAUUUUAAGCAAUUGUAUUCCCAGAAA